rnacentral:rRNA from 1 species
AUACGGAGGGGGCUAGCGUUGUUCGGAAUCACUGGGCGUAAAGCGCGCGUAGGCGGUUUAUCAAGUUGGGCGUGAAAGCCCGGGGCUCAACCCCGGAAUAGCGCCCAAAACUGGUUGACUCGAGUCCGAGAGAGGGUGGUGGAAUUCCCAGUGUAGAGGUGAAAUUCGUAGAUAUUGGGAAGAACACCGGUGGCGAAGGCGGCCACCUGGCUCGGUACUGACGCUGAGGCACGAAAGCAUGGGGAGCGAACAGGAUUAGAAACCCCGGUAGUCC